GCCAGCUUCUUUGGGCAUCUCUAGGUGGGCUUGUUCCGGGAUAGCUGAGCUUUGAUCUCAGCCCUGAGAGCAGAGAAACGCGGAAGCAAGGAGAUUCAGGAAGAGAAGCCAGGUGUUGACCCCUAUGGCCUCCUCUGGGGAGAUGAAGAGAAGGCUCGUGGAGAGAAUGAAGACAGGAGGAGGAAAGACCUGCUUCUCAGCUGGAGGACUUUCAGGGCUAAGCACUAGCAUGGACCAAGGAGUCGCAAAUACAAACCACCUGACCUGAGUGCUGGGCCACUGAGACAGAUCAGGCUUAGCACAUCUGGAAUGGGCAGCACAUCUGGAAUGGGCUUGGGAUUUUCAUUCCCAGGCAGCUCAGGGAGGACCACUAAUGGCCAAAGAUGACAAGCAAGCAGCUGGGACCACUUAGGGACCUCUGAGAGCUUCGAAGGCACAGUGUCUGGGGUGAGUGUGUCUGUGGGUGGCUUCCCUGUGUGUGCAGGCCAUAUCCCAAGCUAAAUGAAAUACCUCUUCUCACUCAGGACAGAGCGAGAGCCCCAGGCCAGGACAGAGGGAAGAUGAAGCAGGCUCUAGAGCUCAUCAAACGGAACUAACAACUAGAGGAAGGUCUGCAGGGCUUGACAGCCUCUGGAAGCCAAAGCUGAAUAAAUGACCAGAGGGUGAAUAAUACAUUAGGGCAGAUGGGGACGGUGGCAAAGUUAAAAAUCUCAUUUGACUCAAAGUAUAAAUGGAUGGAUUGGCAUGGAGAAAAAAAAGAAAAGAGAAUCACAGUGAAACCCAGGGUACUUUAAAAAGCAAGAGAAAGAUGCAUCACAGCAACGAACAGGAGAAAAAAAAAUAAAAACAAAACCAACAACCCAACCUUUCCCCAGUCAGUGAGAAAUGUGGGAGCUGGGCUGAAGACACUGAGACUUUCAUUUUCUCCUUUAGAAUGUGCUGUUUAGGCUGAGCAUGGUGUUGCACACGUUACCUCCGCACCCAAACC
rnacentral:lncRNA from 1 species